UGAGGAAUAUUGGUCAAUGGGCGCAAGCCUGAACCAGCCAUCCCGCGUGAAGGAUGAAGGUCCUAUGGAUUGUAAACUUCUUUUAUACACCAAGAAAAACUCGAACGUGUUCGAGCCCGGCGGUAGUGUAUGAAUAAGCAUCGGCUAACUCCGUGCCAGCAGCCGCGGUAAUACGGAGGAUGCAAGCGUUAUCCGGAUUCAUUGGGUUUAAAGGGUGCGUAGGCGGCUUUUUAAGUCAGUGGUGAAAUCCUGCCGCUUAACGGUAGAAUUGCCAUUGAUACUGAAAAGCUUGAGUACAAUUGAGGUAAGCGGAAUGUGUAGUGUAGCGGUGAAAUGCUUAGAUAUUACACAGAACACCAAUUGCGAAGGCAGCUUACUAAACUGUUACUGACGCUGAUGCACGAAAGCGUGGGGAGCGAACA
rnacentral:rRNA from 1 species